rnacentral:rRNA from 1 species
GUGGGGAAUUUUGGACAAUGGGCGCAAGCCUGAUCCAGCAAUGCCGCGUGCAGGAAGAAGGCCUUCGGGUUGUAAACUGCUUUUGUACGGAACGAAACGGUCCGGGUUAAUACCCUGGGCUAAUGACGGUACCGUAAGAAUAAGCACCGGCUAACUACGUGCCAGCAGCCGCGGUAAUACGUAGGGUGCAAGCGUUAAUCGGAAUUACUGGGCGUAAAGCGUGCGCAGGCGGUUUUGUAAGACAGGCGUGAAAUCCCCGGGCUCAACCUGGGAAUUGCGCUUGGGACUGCAAGGCUGGAGUGCGGCAGAGGGGGAUGGAAUUCCGCGUGUAGCAGUGAAAUGCGUAGAUAUGCGGAGGAACACCGAUGGCGAAGGCAAUCCCCUGGGCCUGCACUGACGCUCAUGCACGAAAGCGUGGGGAGCAAACAGGAUUAGAAACCCGAGUAGUCC